rnacentral:rRNA from 1 species
UACAGAGGUCCCGAGCGUUGUUCGGAUUCACUGGGCGUAAAGGGUGCGUAGGUGGUGAGGUAAGUCGGAUGUGAAAUCUCCAAGCUCAACUUGGAAAUGGCAUUGGAAACUACCUCGCUGGAGGUUUGGAGGGGGGACUGGAAUUCUCGGUGUAGCAGUGAAAUGCGUAGAUAUCGAGAGGAACACCGGUGGCGAAGGCGGCAUCCUGGACCAACACUGACGCUGAGGAGCGAAAGCCAGGGGAGCAAACGGG